rnacentral:rRNA from 1 species
UACAGAGGUCUCAAGCGUUUGUUCGGAUUCAUUGGGCGUAAAGGGUGCGUAGGCGGCGCGGUAAGUCGGGUGUGAAAUCUCGGGGCUUAACUCCGAAACUGCAUUCGAUACUGCCGUGCUUGAGGACUGGAGAGGAGACUGGAAUUUACGGUGUAGCGGUGAAAUGCGUAGAUAUCGUAAGGAAGACCAGUGGCGAAGGCGGGUCUCUGGACAGUUCCUGACGCUGAGGCACGAAGGCCCAGGGGGAGCAAAACGGGG